rnacentral:lncRNA from 13 species
CACAGAAUGACUCCUUCUAAAAGUGAGCCACUCAGACUCAGAUCCAAUCCUGAUGCUUCCUGGAAGAGGCUGAGUGUCUGCAUCUGAAUCAUACAAGGACCCAAAGAAUCAUAGAGAAAAGAGAAAGCAUUAAUUCUGUGAGGGGCUCUCCAGUCACCCUGCAUGAAGGCAGGACAAUUUCCAUUUGAAAAGGACAAUUGUUAAUGAGCUCUAUUCCCCUGGCUUAUCACCCCACAAGCAAAGGGGCUGCUUUGAAGUCAACACAGUCUAUUAUGGGUGAAAUAAACCCUUUAGAACAAAGGGCAGUUCAAGUACAGACUCAGGACACUGAUGGCACCUGCCCACCCUCACUCCAGUCCCCACCGCCACUCCCCAUCUGAUGAUGACAUGAAGUCCUUAGGACAUGCGUGUCCUUAAGCGUCAUGGGAUUGGAUUCAGUGUCUCCCCUGGGGCCCCUCCUUACUCAGACCCCUGGCAGCCAUCUCAACAGUGAAAAAACUCCCCAAACAGAUGCCUCUCAUUGGCAAAUCAACCCCUUCCUUCAUCGUCUUCAGGUUUUAGAGAUCCUCAGGACCAAAGAAUCACAGGUCCUUCGGCAGUUCCAUGUUUUCCUCCAAAACUUUAAUGAGGAUGAGACUGUCACUGAGGUUUCUGUGCUUGUACCAACAGCUGUGACAUGGUGUAUUUUUCAUCGUGAGUUUCUUCUGCUUUCUGUAUCCCUCAUCUCCUCUCUCCUUCAACCCCGAAUAGGUGUAAUCAUUUUCUGAUGUCCUUAACUAGAGCUUGACCCAGGCCGCUGCUAACAACAUUUAAUUUCAUUGCAUUUCUCUUUGUUGAGUCAACAGAAGCCUACUUCAUGCUUGUUUUGGUCACUACCUUGCUAAAGGUAACCACUGUUCUGACUUCUAUCCUCAUAGAUAAGUUUUAUCUGUUUUAAAGCAUUAAGUGAAUGAAAUGAUGCAUUAGCUACUCUUUUGUCUUUGGCAUCUGGUUUGUCUGUUUCCAUAUGAUUUCUGCAAGAUCCAUCCACAUUGUUUAAUGUAGCAGUAAUCCAUUCUUUUUCAUUGUUGUCUAAUACUCUAUAAAAGAAUCAGAACACAUUUAUGUAUCCUGCUGUUGAUGGACAUUUGUGGGGUUUUCACCCAGCCCCUGGCCAUUAUAAAUAGUACUGCCAAGAAUAUUCUUGUGAGAAAUAUGCAUUUCUAUUGGGUAUAUAUCUAGAGAUGAAAUCGCUGGGUAACAGACUACACGAAUGUUCAGUGUUAUCAGACACUGUCAAGUAGAUUUCCAAGUGGCUGCAUCACACACCAGCAGUGGGUAUGAGUUCUGGUUACUCUACAUCUUGUCAACACUUGGAAUUGCCAUUUUUUCCCCCUUUCAUUCUGGUGAAUAACUAGUGGUAUGUUUGUAGUUUUAAGUUAGAGUUCUCUGAUGACUAAUUAGGUCGAACACACUUAAUAUGCUAAUUAUCCAUUUGUUUAAACUAUGUAAUAAAGUGCACAUCAGAUCUUUUUUGUUGUUUUUG